CGUCUGCUUGUGUUUUGCCUUGUGUUAACUUGUUAAUUUUGGCGUUUUGUUUUAUUCGGAAGUUUCCUAAAAUUAGUAUCGUUGGGUUAAUUACUUUACAGAAACAUUAUCAUGCAGUACUGAUUGAUGACAGCUUACAUCAAGUUCGAUAUAUUGAAGAGUGAAUUGUAACAAUACGUUACCAUGAUGAAACGGCCAGAUAUCGCAAGGAAACUAUUUCAUCAGUACACAUCGAAAAUUCUGUUUGAACCUAUCAAUAGAAAAAUAUACAGAACUAACUUAAUGUGUAAUGGCAACUUGACGAGGAUAAUUCUUCAUUGCCGAUUCUUCACGCAUUCAGCAAGAUCAUUUAGUUCUUCAGACAAACUUCCCGAAAGCAAAGUAGUUCAAACAGAAAACCUGAAUCCAGAUGUAAAAAUAAUCCAACCUGGAUUACUUCCGAAGGAUCCAGCGGGAAGUGUGCCACCAGCAGACAAGUCAACAGCGAAAGCUGUCAUCCAGGAGACUCAGGCAGAAGCUGUUGAGAGAAUAGCGAUCCAGAAGGACGUUAUUAUCGUAGAGCCUGUUAAAAGCAAACCCGAGUUGAAGGUGGAACCUCCUCCACCUCCUACUCCUCCGGAAGGAGAAAAAAAGGAGAAAAAGACUGCAAAGUCAAUAAUUCAGGAAGCUGUGGAAAAAGUAACAAAAAAGAGAAUUCGAGUUGAUCUGACAGCUUCCUCCGUCGAGAGAAACUUCAUCACGCCUGUCAGAGCGAUGUCUGACUUUCUUUUAAAACCAUCAGAUUUAGAAAACUUACGAGCUACGAAGAGAAGAUCACCGUACGAGAAUGAGCCUCCAAUCACAGUCUUUUGGAGGAAAGACGUAGAAGCAAGAGCAAUUGAAGUUUGGGGUUCUAAAGAAAAUCUAACCAAAGAACUACUUAAAAGAGAUUUGGAGAGGAGAUUUUAUCAACAAAAUACUUUUACAACAAAGAGGAAAUUGCGGGACUACAGACGAGAGAAGGACCACCAGAGGGAGCAGAAGAUGGUGGAGACAGCUGGACUGUUUGGCCCUUCUGGCAAAGUUGUCCUUACCGCAGUUGCAAUAAAUGGCAGCAACUUCCUGUUCAAGUUGUUUGCUUGGAUAUUUACUGGCUCACACAGCAUGUUCUCGGAGUGUAUUCAUUCCUUGGCAGACACAAUCAACCAGCUCAUCCUUGCUUACGGAAUACACAAAUCUGUGCAGAGAGCAGACUCAGACCACCCGUACGGCUACACCAACAUGAGGUACGUGUCAUCACUCAUCUCUGGAGUGGGUAUCUUCUGUGUGGGCACCGGCCUGUCUCUGUACCACGGAGUCACGGGUCUCUUGAAUCCUUCCGAUAUUGAGAAUUUCUAUUGGGGUUUGUUGAUUCUUGGCGGGUCGCUAGCAUCUGAAGGAGCUACUCUGCUCGUGGCUUAUAAUUCAAUUAAAAAGGGUGCAGAGAAGUGCAACAUGUCCUUCGCAGAAUAUGUGUUGCGAGGCAGUGACCCCAGCGUGAACGUGGUGCUACUAGAAGACUGUGCGGCAGUAGUGGGAGUGGCCACCGCUGGAAUAUGCAUGGCUCUCUCCGCUCACUAUAAUUCCCACAUCCCUGACGCCAUUGGCUCUCUCAUCGUGGGAGGCAUCCUAGGCUGUGUGGCAUCGUUCAUCAUCUACACCAAUGUUGCCGCACUGGUGGGCAGGUCUAUUCCACACGAAUAUCUGGAGAAAAUAAACACUGAACUGGAGUCAGACGUAAUGAUCCGUGCCAUCCACGAUGUCAAAGGCAUUGACAUGGGCAACUCACUAAUUAGAUAUAAGGCUGAGGUGGAUUUUGAUGGAAGAGAACUGACAAGGUCUUACCUGGAUAAGCAAGAUCUCAAUCUGUUACUGGAGGAGGUGAGGAACUUCAAGAACAUUGAUGAGUUCGAAGCUUUCAUGUUGAAACACAGUGAAAACAUUGUGGACAUGAUGGGAGGAGAAAUCGAUAGGAUCGAAAUGAAACUUAGAGUAAAAAAAAUUUCCUGACGUGAGACACUGUGAUUUGGAAAUCUUGUAAAGCCUUGUUUUAUAUUAAUGAAGAUGCUGUGAUAGAGAAAAUGCGUUGUAGCGGCGCUGUGAUCUCCUCAUGGAAUGUUCUCGUCAAGCCUCACCCCGUCGACAGAUGAAAGAAUCUUCCGCUCCAUUCUCCACCCGACCUAACACGAUGGCUGUCACGCAGGCGUGCUGUCUACUCCAGACUAUGACUCCCUCUGUCUGUACAACUCUAAUGUCUAUUCGCUAGCUAAUCUCCCCUGUGUUGUUAAAAGUUACCUAACUUAUUUUUUACCAAUUUUUAGGUGUACAAUCUUGCUUUUUUAUUUUUAUGAAAUAUAAAUCAGCCAUGUGUGUUUUUUAUCGAGCUCGUCGUCAUUAGUCUGUUAUAAAGUGUAUUUUUGAGAUAAGAAAUAAAGCUUUAUAAUUUUACGGGAACAAUUCAGUGUUUGUGUUGACUUAUUUGUGUAGUAAAAAUAAAACCCGUUUUGGUACUGUAUAGUGUAGAGUAUAUGUAAUACUACCUAUUUAUUUUGUAACCAGCGAUUUAUAAAGCACUGUAGAUGGUCAUCUCCGUGCUUGGUCGUUGUUGUUUAGGUUAUAAUUUAAGGAUAUGUUAUUGACUUACCGCUUUUAUUUUACAAUUUACACACCUAUUAUUGCUAUGUGUUUAUUUAUAUUCUAACAUAUUUUAUCAUUAUUUCUUUUCUGCUUUUUUCAUUAUCACUUUGAUUGAUGGAACUCAAUAUUUAGUUGUAAAUUCUGUAAAAAGUCUUCACUUGAUUAUUGAGUCCAUGGUCGCAAUAAAAAUGCAUAAUGCUUUAUGUAUGUAAUUACUUAUUGACUGUUCAUAUAUUUGUAUAUCAGAAAUUGAUAAAAUAUGGUAGAUACAGCAAUUCCAAAUUUUUAUUAAAACUACAGUUCAACGUAUUUUUAUUGAAUGGUACUGAGGAUGAUGUAUCAAGCAAAUUGAUGUGUACAGAAUCAUCGUUUUAAAAUUAUAAAAGUACAUUAACAAUUAUUUUGUAUUUUUUACUUUUGAGAGUUGUUUUAUUUAAGUAUGAAACUGUCACUAUUACUAAAGUAUGCCCAUUUUCUACAUUGGCAAGAAUGAGUUCUGUGAUGGUGCAUCUCCAAGCAUGGAAUUUGGCUGAGCGUCAUUGAAGCCUAUCACUCAAUAGCUGACUCAAUAUCUGUCUGCUGGGAGGAUGUAGAAAUUUCUUUUCUGUAGAUUAUCUGUCUGUCUGUCUGUCCACAGGAUAUCUAGAAUGAAAUGGGUGACUUGAAAUUUUGCGUGCAACCUCAGCAAAGCUUGUUAUGCGUCUGGAAUGCCUUGUAUUAAGUUAUUCUUUCACAUUUUGUAUAUAUAGAGCAUAAUAGCUUAAAAGCAACAUAGUUUUUAAACAUUUGUAAAAUUGUCGUUUAGUGUAUUAAUGCAACAAAACAUAACAUUUUUGCUUCCACAUAUCUAAAAUGAAAACUUUUUGGCAUACAAGGAAUUUUAUACUUAUAUAGAUUUUUAUCCUUAUUACUUUGACAAUUCUGAAAAAAUUACAAAAAAAAUGUAUAGAUACAUUUUCAGUUGCAAGUCAGAACUUUAUUUUUGUAUUUCAAAUUGAUUUGUAAUACGUUAAAAAUUAAAGGACCACAACAUUUUCCUAAAACUCUACAUUUUGUAAUACAAUGCCACAGCACUUUUAGCACAGAAAUUCAUAAAAUGACAUGGCACUAAAAGGGUUAAGUAAUUAAAUUCCCUCCUAUUUUUUACAACCCAUCCAGCAUUACUGUUUAUACUAUACAACAAUAUUAAUUUAUUUCGCUAUUCAUUAGUUAAUCAUAAAUUAAUAUUGCCUAUUGUAAAAUUAUUUAGAAUGUUUUUUAUCUAUCUUUGUUUCCGAAAUUACUUUGUUUUUGUAAAGUAGGAAAAAAAUUUUUAAAAUUAAAUACAAUUUUUUGGACGUCUUAUACAAGACGAAUGGCUGGAGGAAGCAACGUGUUUUUAUUCAUAAAUAAUUAAUUUUUCCCUAAGAAAAAAUAUUUAAAACAUGACAGUUUUUAGAAUUAUAUUUAAUUAAAAAUAAUAAUUUGUUCCAGAUAGCAAUAAAUAAAAAAAAACAUGCAUCCCAGAAGCUGUAAUUCAUGUACAUACUGUGAAAAGUCACAUUUUUAUCUUCAACCUUUUUUAUUUCAGCUUAAUUACAAAAUUGCCUAAAUGUUUUACUUUAAAUGCCUGUUACUUCUCUUGGAGCAAUAAGAAAAUGGUCCUACUUUUUCUAUUUUCAGGGAAAUCAUGUUUUAGGGUUAUGAUUUUAAUAAAACAUAUUUUGUAACAAAGAUUGGUUUAUUAAAGUAUUGUCAGUGAACAUAUUAAAGAGCAACAAUUUGUAUUCUAAUUAUAAAUUUUGUAUUGAUACAACUUUACUAUGUGUGUUAAAGUUGAGAAAAAUAAAAAUAAGCAUUGAUGCUACCAUACAAAUACGUGAGGGUUUUUAUUACGUAGGAUGUCCUGUUUACAAUUUGAAUGACAUUAGGUCUUCCGAUUUUACCAUGUUGGAGUGAAACACAAGUUUUUGUACUUGAGUGAAAAUAUCGGAUUGUUUGUAUCAUCAGCUCCAAAAUGGCCACCAUCCUUAACUAAACACAUUGUGCUCUUGAUCGCCUUGACGCAUAGGUUUCAACAAUAUGUGUUACCUAAGCAAUUAAGUGAGUCGACGGAUGUGUGACAAUAACAUACCCAAACUUUUGUAAUCGAUUUUACAGUUAAAUUGUAGAUAAUUUUCCUGAGCUAAUAGUCAUGCUGCAGUUGCUUGGCUAUGUCAAAGUUGACCUUGACUGAGAAGAAGGUGUUGUCUCAGGGCAUGCCUAGGUACUAAUGGUGACAGAAAUAGGCCUGUGAAUCAUACCUAUAUAAGAAAUCUGUUAAAAAUAAUAUGUUAUAGUGCAUAGAAUAAUAUUCAAGAUGGUCAUAAAUUUAGUUGUAACGAGAAUUUCUUGAGAAGAACCUAGUAAUAAUUUGUCUAGUAACCAGUGUAGAUUUUAUCACUAAGAACAAUGCUAAUUCUUAAACCACUUUACUCCUUUUUUUUAAUUUUGUGAAUUAUACCAGUAGUUACAACUAAUGUACAUCCAACUGUUUAUUUUAAUCUUCGAUAAUAAUUGCUAUACAGAAAAAAUUUCAAAAGAUGUUUCCUUUAAAAUUAUAAGCAAUAAAGUAAUUUUACUACACACAAACUCUGAAAGAGAAUGCGUUAUAAAAAUUUUACUUUUAGAGUGACACAUCGUGUAAAAUUCAGCAUGGGUGUAAUAUGGCAAAAGGUUUAACGUUUUUCUUAGUGAACAAAACUGGAGACCAUUUCAGUAAAAUCAUGAUGUUCAAUGCACAUUUGUUAAGAGCUAGCUGCACCAAAGUGAUCCUUAGUUGUGGCUCUUAAGAGCACUGUUAAACUUUAACUGAAACUGCCGGUCAUUUUUCCUAAAAUUUCAAAAAAUAUUCUCCACUAAUUUUUUUUCAAAAAUUCAAUAAAAAUGGAAUUACAAUUAUUAAUCACUUCUCAAAGCAUACUACUCUUUUAUGCAAAUAAUAGAAUAUUUUUUCAUUCUACAUUGCUCAGCAACAAAAAUGUAUUAAGGCACACGUAAGAAGGUAAUAAAAAAACUAUGGACUUUUAAUGUACUCAAGUUUGCUUUCUAAAGACAUACAAUAUACAUAUUUGACUUAUUUCAGCACUAAAAACUUCAAGGCGCAGCGUCAACUGACCAUGUUUUAGACUAUGUAGCGUCACAGCUGAUAUCAAAUACGGUAUUCGUAAAUACAAAAUUCAGGUCACAAACAGCAGAAUAAAAAUCUGAAUACCAAUAGGUUGUAAAGUAUAUAUAAUUGAGUUACUACAUGAAAUUUCAUGUUAAAAUUCCGACUUGAAUAAAAAAAAGGACUUAGUCGGUACUACUCGGUACCAAACCGGCAGAACCAGGGUUGAACACUUUUAUUCUCAGACUUUAGCGAAAGAAUUGUGGUAGAUGAUGUUUGUUUCUAAUUAUGUAAUUAUUUAGCACAAAAACACUCUUGAAAUUUUUUGUAAACUGAAUGCUUUUUAAAUGGGUAACAAUGAAGUAAAAAAUGUUGUGAUACAUUUUUCUGAACAAUCAAUCAAUAUUGAAAAUUCAAAAUGCUUUAGUACAUGUAUUACUUAUGUAGUUAAAAUUACCCAUUUCCCACGAUAAUUCUACUUUUGAAAAUGAAGAUGUAAUAGAGUUAGAGAUUGAACAUUGUUAUUAUGAGACUAAAAUCAUUAUGGUUACCAGUAUUCCAAGUUUUAGAAAGGCCAAUUUUUUCUAUAUGUAAAGUUUUAAAAUGUUGUACUAAUAAACUUCAAUGAACGUUCAUAUAUUUUCUAUUGAUUUGUUUACAAAAUCGUUAAAAAAAAAGUAUUUUCACCAAAUGCAUGAAAACGUGUCAUAAUUUAUAUUGUUUAAAACAAGAACUCUGGUAGCAAAAUAUUUAAAGCUUUGUCAAUAAGCCUUUUGAACUUUGUUUUGUCUACAAUUAAUAUUAACAUUAUAUCCCAGGUGCCGUGAAUAGAAAAACUUAGUAGUUAAGAUUAUGCCAGGAGUAACGACUGUCAACGUUGAUAUUUAACUAUAUUUACAAAUAGGAAUAUGUUGCAUCUAGUUAUUAUGGAUUUUGUACCAUAAUUUGUUAGAAAUAAUCGUCAUAUAUGGUAUUCCAUAGUGAAAUGGUUUGUUCUUUUUGUUAAUAAAAGCUAUAAUUUUUUCAA
rnacentral:misc_RNA from 1 species